CUAAAUCUGCAUCCGAUGAUUAUCUGAUAUCGAUGAAGCCGAGAUUUCUGGAUACCUUAACGACAAAACGGAAAUGCUUUUCAAGAAGUUGAUGUGGGAAGCUAUGAAUAAAUGUUAUGCAAAGAAGAAAAAAAUAAAGCCGCUACAGAGAAGGAAUCUUCUGCUAAGAAAGCUGUUGCUGGCAGGAUGGAAAGUGUAAAGGAAAAGGAACCGGAGAAUAGAAAGAGACUGAGUUCGAAAAUCAACUAUGAUGCAUUGGAGAAGCUAACCGAUGAAAUACCAGAGGAAGUUACUGAAAAGCCUAACAUCAAAUUUUGAAGCUUGUGGUUUUGAGGAAGACAACUAUAGCGACGAGUUUGAAUCCGAGAAUGCUAAUCUAUAUUCCUACAUAGACGAGGAAGAGCAGUAUGAUUGUAGAGAAGAUUAUGAUGAAUAUGAAGAAUUUUGAAGCUAAAAAUGAUCUUGACAACGUUAUCCUGCUGUUAAGUUUCGGCAUACAACGAGAACAGUCAUGGUCAAAAUUUGCAUAUAGCUGCAAUUAUUUGUUAUAUGAUCGAUUUUGCAAUUUGUUAUUUCGAUCAAUCUAGGAAUGAUACA